rnacentral:lncRNA from 1 species
AAAUAUGUUUGACUAAAAAUAUUCAUUAACUUGUGCUAUUCAGCUACAUAUGAUUUAAAUAGACAAAAACAUUACCCUAAUUUCCUAUUUACAUAAAGAAAAUAACUAAAUAGGAAUUAACUAAAGUAUAUGCUAAAUAUAAGUUUUUCUAAAUAAACAAAAUAAGGAACUAUGCUUAAUUAGAAAAUAAUAAAAAACCUAUUCUAAAAGGAAAUAAUAUAAGACUUCAAAAAUAACAAAAUAAGAAGCCUAAUUGAUUUAGUCAAUCAUAAUCAAUAAAGACAUGACUAAAUAAAUCAAGCAUUUUUCCUAAAUAACAAGAUAUACGGCUGCCCUAUUGUUUCCUCUUUGAAGUUGGCGCGCUCUUUGGUCAAGCAACAAACAUAGGCGCCUUCUUUUGGUUUCCUCUUCAAGGAAAUUCACCCCUCCCCCUUUUCCUUAUGAAUAUUUUGGCCCGAACUAGCUUUUCUGAAGGCCUAACAUGUUGGAUUAGGUUAUUGAAUAAGCCCAUUUAAGGCCUCCUUCAUCCACUUAGCCCUAGCUCUUAUAAUUGGACCUCCUUUGAUGAAUAAUGGAUCCUUUGAACUUGUAAUUGGACUUGGAGUAGAAUUCGAGCCUUGACCUGAAGUUAGUCAUGACUUGGCUUUGACUCUUGAUUCACAUUAAAUUUUAUAGGCGUUAUCAUUAAUUCUUUCAAUUACUUGAAAAGGACCAUCUCCCAUUGGAGCAACUUGGAUCGCCGUUGGACAUGAAAACUUUCCUUUCUCAUAUGCACCCAAAACCAAAUCUUUAGGCUCAAGGACCACCUUUUUCGACCCUUGUUGGCUUGACUAACAUAUUGUUCGAUUCUUUUCUCAAUGUCGAAUUGCACCUUAGCAUGUAA